GACAGAGGAUGCAAGCGUUAUCCGGAAUGAUUGGGCGUAAAGCGUCUGUAGGUGGCUUUUUAAGUCUGCUGUCUAAUCCCAGGGCUUAACCCUGGACAGGCGGUGGAAACUACCAAGCUGGAGUACGGUAGGGGCAGGGGGAAUUUCCGGUGGAGCGGUGAAAUGCGCAGAUAUCAGGAGGAACACCGGUGGCGAAGGCGGAUCUCUGGGCCGUAACUGACGCUGAGGAGCGAAAGCAUGGGGAGCGAACAGG
rnacentral:rRNA from 1 species